CCUCCACGACUAAUUCGCGGCCGCAUCGACCACCACCAGGAGUGGAGCCUGCGGCUUAAUUUGACACAACACGGGAAACCUCACCCGGCCCGGACACGGACAGGAUUGACAGAUUGAGAGCUCUUUCUCGAUUCCGUGGGUGGUGGUGCAUGGCCGUUCUUAGUUGGUGUAGCGAUUUGUCUGGUUAAUUCCGAUAACGAACGAGACUCUGGCAUGCUAACUAGUUACGCGACCCCCGAGCGGUCGGCGUCCAACUUCUUAGAGGGACAAG
rnacentral:rRNA from 1 species